CCGUUUAAAAAAAGUUUUUUUUUAAUUUGAUUCAUUUGCCUAGGACUCGUAUUAAGUAUAAUAAAUACAGCAUAUUUAAUUUAAAAAAUACAAUAAAAGUUAUUGUCUUGUAUUAAUUUUGGAUUUAAGGUUUUCAAUAUUACAAACAAAUAACUAAACUCUCACAGUAUCAUUAUAGGUGGUAAGAUGAGUAAAUAAUGUCUCAUGAAAUCAAUACAACAAAUAAACUGUAAUUAAAAACUAUUUAAUUUUAUCACUUUUGAUAAAUAUAUUACACAGAUAUUGUACAGACAAAAGUUGAUUUUUAAUGUCCUUUAAUCUAACGGGGAGGGUGACCAGGAGUACCUGGAUUGUAAUGUGCAUUAGAAAUAGUGCCAGGGCCCUCGAAAUACGGAUCAUCAGGGAGAUGAGAUUUCGGUGGAGGGGUAAACGGACCUUCACCUAUACCUUGUACUGACACCGGCAUAAAAGAAUAAAUAAUAACACACGAAACGAUAAAUUUUAAUAGCAUAUUUGCAAUAAAUCCGAAAUAGAUACGCGAAUAAUACGAUACUCUUAGGAGACACAAUUUUAAUUUUAUGCUUUGAUUUUAAUAUAUCUCAGUUAAACGCUACGGUCUUAACAAUUUAUAUUUCCUAAAUAGGUAUGAUUCCAGUGGACAGUAAUAAUUGCUACACGUUACGUUAUAGUAGUAGUCGACGGAUUAUCCAAAUGUUCUUGCUUGAG